rnacentral:lncRNA from 1 species
CCCCUGUUGUUGUUCUCUUUUCUUCAUUAUUUAACGCCCUAUUAUUGUGUUAUUUUUAUUUUUCUUGCAAUUUUUUUGUCUAUCAUUUAUUAUUUUCUGCUCAUUAUUCUGCACUUUUUGUACACUAUUCUCUAUUAUGUAAACUUAAUAUCGACCCUCGUAAAUGACAGCUGUAAAACAAGCAUCCUUUUUUCUUUCAUCUUUU